GAUUAAAUGGCUGAAUUUAUAGGUAAUAGAUUGUAAAUCUAUUUAUGGAGUUGAAACUUCUUUAAUCA
rnacentral:tRNA from 1 species